CAGAGAGCAUAUGAGGUUUCGAAUCAUGGUCGAAACAAGGGUGUCGCGUUAAAGAGCUGAAACCGGAGACGGCAUUUACAGUACUCAACGAGGAAGCUGAAUCUAUCCUUGAGGAAAUCAAACCUACCCCAUUUAAACUUGUUGCUUUGGGAGUGGCCAUUUCUGCAGCAGCUUAUUCAUUACUGGAGUAGGAUACGACGCUGCAGUUCAUUGGUGUUAUCGGUCUUGGACAGACUCUACUCAGACGAACCGCGUUGUAUCAAGGUGCAGAAGACUUCCAGAAAGAUGUAAGGUUCCCAUUUAAACAAAUAAAAGCUUUCUACAGAUACAGUUACAACAUAUAUUCAGACACAAUUUUUGGUUUCUCUACUGUUGAAAAUUUUACUACUACCUUAGGUCUCUGCUAGAACCAGUCGCAUUUGGAGGUCAGGCGAUUUCAUGGGGUGCUGGGAAGCUGGAGACGAACCGGAACGGACUUCCUACGUCGCCCUCCUCGUCAGAGGUCCAAAGCCGGGUGCUGCAAGCAGCGGCAAAGCUAGAAUCUCAACCCCCUGAGGAAGUACAUAUAUCUGAAGCAUAGGAAUAUUCAAACUCAGAAAUUAAAAUACUUACAUGAAAUAUGUUGGAUUCUGGUUUCCUCAUGUUGUAAGAAAUCAUGUCAACCACUCUUGAUUGCAUGUUAUAGGUUUUUGCUUGCAAUUAAGUUUGAUCGAAGGAUAACAUUUUGCAA